rnacentral:rRNA from 1 species
AGUGGGGAAUUUUGGACAAUGGGCGCAAGCCUGAUCCAGCCAUGCCGCGUGCGGGAAGAAGGCCUUCGGUUGUAACCGCUUUGUCAGGGAAGAAAGGUUCGAGCUAAUACCUCGGACUAAUGACGGUACCUGAAGAAUAAGCACCGGCUAACUACGUGCCAGCAGCCGCGGUAAUACGUAGGGUGCAAGCGUUAAUCGGAAUUACUGGGCGUAAAGCGUGCGCAGGCGGUUAUGCAAGACAGAUGUGAAAAUCCCCGGGCUCAACCUGGGAACUGCAUUUGUGACUGCAUGACUUGAGUACGGUAGAGGGGGAUGGAAUUCCGCGUGUAGCAGUGAAAUGCGUAGAUAUGCGGAGGAACACCGAUGGCGAAGGCAAUCCCCUGGACCUGUACUGACGCUCAGGCACGAAAGCGUGGGGAGCAAACAGGAUUAGAUACCCUGGUAGUCCACGCCCUAAAACGAAUGUCAAACUGGUUGUUGGGAGGGUUUCUUCUCAGUAACGAAGCUAACGCGUGAAGUUGACCG